CGACGGCAGCACAGUAAGAGCUUGCUCUUAUGGGUGGCGAGUGGCGGACGGGUGAGGAAUACAUCGGAAUCUACCUUUUCGUGGGGGAUAACGUAGGGAAACUUACGCUAAUACCGCAUACGACCUUCGGGUGAAAGCAGGGGACCUUCGGGCCUUGCGCGGAUAGAUGAGCCGAUGUCGGAUUAGCUAGUUGGCGGGGUAAAGGCCCACCAAGGCGACGAUCCGUAGCUGGUCUGAGAGGAUGAUCAGCCACACUGGAACUGAGACACGGUCCAGACUCCUACGGGAGGCAGCAGUGGGGAAUAUUGGACAAUGGGCGCAAGCCUGAUCCAGCCAUACCGCGUGGGUGAAGAAGGCCUUCGGGUUGUAAAGCCCUUUUGUUGGGAAAGAAAAGCAGUCGAUUAAUACUCGGUUGUUCUGACGGUACCCAAAGAAUAAGCACCGGCUAACUUCGUGCCAGCAGCCGCGGUAAUACGAAGGGUGCAAGCGUUACUCGGAAUUACUGGGCGUAAAGCGUGCGUAGGUGGUUGUUUAAGUCUGUUGUGAAAGCCCUGGGCUCAACCUGGGAAUUGCAGUGGAUACUGGGCGACUAGAGUGUGGUAGAGGGUAGUGGAAUUCCCGGUGUAGCAGUGAAAUGCGUAGAGAUCGGGAGGAACAUCCAUGGCGAAGGCAGCUACCUGGACCAACACUGACACUGAGGCACGAAAGCGUGGGGAGCAA
rnacentral:rRNA from 1 species